rnacentral:lncRNA from 1 species
GAAGGUUGUGGUGGCGGUUGUGAAGUGAAAGGAACUAGAUCUGGCCCAAGGAUCCUUAGCAGUAGAACUUAGGGGUUCUGUUUCCCCUACCCAUUCCAAAAUUUCACUCAAACGAGACUCAAAGUCUCUUCUCUGAACGAGAUCCCCAAAGAGGGGUUGGCCUCCAUUGCACGCACACUCGACGAAAGCGCGGCGAUGGCGCGAAGGCGCGCUGACCGCAUUGUUUCGUCUCCUUCC